AUUGAACGCUGGCGGCAGGCUUAACACAUGCAAGUCGAGCGGGGAAGGGUAGCUUGCUACCUAACCUAGCGGCGGGCGGGUGAGUAAUGCUUAGGAAUCUGCCAUUUAGUGGGGGACAACAUUCCGAAAGGAAUGCUAAUACCGCAUACGUCCUACGGGAGAAAGCAGGGGAUCUUCGGACCUUGCGCUAAAUGAUUAGCCUAAGUCGGAUUAGCUAGUUGGUGGGGUAAAGGCCUACCAAGGCGACGAUCUGUAGCGGGUCUGAGAGGAUGAUCCGCCACACUGGGACUGAGACACGGCCCAGACUCCUACGGGAGGCAGCAGUGGGGAAUAUUGGACAAUGGGCGGAAGCCUGAUCCAGCCAUGCCGCGUGUGUGAAGAAGGCCUUUUGGUUGUAAAGCACUUUAAGCGAGGAGGAGGCUACUAGUACUAAUACUACUGGAUAGUGGACGUUACUCGCAGAAUAAGCACCGGCUAACUCUGUGCCAGCAGCCGCCGUAACAC
rnacentral:rRNA from 1 species